ensembl:miRNA
UGGUCUUCAUGGUUACCCUUACAAAAACACUGACUUUGGUUCUUAAUACAGUAAGUGCUUUUUGUUGGGGUAGUUU